rnacentral:lncRNA from 1 species
CAAAAAUAAACCAACGUUAUGAAGAGGCAACAACAGCAAGGAAAUUCCCCUGUCUGCCAUCCCUGUCAAUGGCCUGCUUACGGUCCCUGUGUUGGUGAUGAACAUCUGUUGCUGGGUAAGCCAGACUGCCAAGAUCCCCUUCUUCUCGCCUAGCUCACUCCCAAUGUCAUGAACAUUGCCAAGGAUGCACACGAAGGAGGGGCAGAUGGAGUCACUGCCACCAACACAGUGUCUGGAAUGAUGGGCCUGACAGCACUCCCUGGCCUGGCAUCGGCAAGGGCAAGCGCACCACCUAUGGAGGAAUGUCUGAGCACAGCCAACCCCAUCCUGCAGGGACUCCUGACAGCCAGUUAGAGACUAGAGAUAGAGGGGGCUGGAUUGGACCACAUUGGGGAGUGAGGUAAGGGGGGAACGGUGUGUAUGUGUGAGUGUGCGUGUAAGACCACAUGGGUGGGCAAGAGAUAGCGAUUGGAUGAUUGUCAGUAUGUUUUCUUCAUAUAUAACACUGUAUUUAUUUCUGUUUUUUUCUGAGAUUGAGGAACAGAAAAACUCUAACAUACACAACUACGAAUCUGAAUUUAUCUCAUCUUCU